UGUGAAUCUGUGUCGGCGGCGCUAAUUUGACAAAUACAGGACUGUCUCAGAGAAUUAGAAUAUUGUGAUAAAGUUCUUUAUUUUCUGUAAUGCAAUUAAAAAAACAAAAAUGUCAUGCAUUCUGGAUUCAUUACAAAUCAACUGAAAUAUUGCAAGCCUUUUAUUCUUUUAAUAUUGCUGA